AUGUCCAAAUCGAGGACCGAUGCGCUCCCAUGGCUAAAGGUCUUGUCUGUCCCGCCCAAUUUCACCUGCUUGUCGACGCGGCCGGAGACCUGCGGAAGAUGCGCUGCCGCUCGGCUCGCGAACAUCAGCGGCCCCGGAUUCCUACGCGUCUGCUGCUCCCAUGGCUGGAGGGGCAGCAGCCACUUGCCUGCAGCUCCCAUGACCGGCUCCCCGGUGCGCUGCCGCUCGCCGCCACGCGGCCUUGCCAGUGCGGAAACGCUGGGAUGUCAAGCGGUCGUGGAGCCGGCGAGAUGGCAGAGUGAAGCCGCGUCACAAAGGAAGGAUGGGGGAUGUGGGUCGACUUGGGAGGAGGCAGCGGUGGAGACCGUCGGAAUUCCUGCCGUCGGGAGAGAGACGAGGAGGAAGAAGAAGAAAAUAGGGGGAAAAGGAGAUGUGUAUGAUGUGACCAAAUUUCUUGAGGAACACCCCGGAGGUGAAGAAAUCUUGCUGUCUUUAGCUGGUACUGCCCCAUCACACAUGUCUUUCUUUGGCAUGGAUGCAACAACGAACUUCGAAGAUGUGGGACAUAGCAGCGACGCUCGGGAAAUGAUGGAUAUGUACUACAUCGGCGUCAUCGACACAACCACGGGGUGA
rnacentral:rRNA from 1 species